UGCGGGGUGGAGCAGUUGGUGGCUCGCAAGGCUCAUAACCUUGAGGUCUCUGGUUCGAGUCCAGAUCCCGCAUCCA
rnacentral:tRNA from 1 species